rnacentral:rRNA from 1 species
UACGUAGGGCGCAAGCGUUAUCCGGAAUUACUGGGCGUAAAGGGCUCGUAGGUGGUCAACUAAGUCGGACGUGAAAUCCUUCGGCUUAACCGGGGAACUGCGUCCGAUACUGGAUGACUUGAGUUCGGGAGAGGGAUGCGGAAUUCCAGGUGUAGCGGUGAAAUGCGUAGAGAUGUGGAGGAAUACCGAUGGCGAAGGCAGCCCCCUGGGAUAACACUGACGCUCAUGCACGAAAGCGUGGGGAGCAAACAGGAUUAGAAACCCGUUG